rnacentral:rRNA from 1 species
GUCGAGCGAUUUACUUCGGUAAAGAGCGGCGGACGGGUGAGUAACGUGUGGGUAACCUGCCCUAUACACACGGAUAACAUACCGAAAGGUAUGCUAAUACGAGAUGACAUAAGAGAUUCGCAUGGAUUUCUUAUCAAAGCUUUUGCGGUAUAGGAUGGACCCGCGUCUGAUUAGCUAGUUGGUAAGGUAACGGCUUACCAAGGCGACGAUCAGUAGCCGACCUGAGAGGGUGAUCGGCCACAUUGGAACUGAGACACGGUCCAAACUCCUACGGGAGGCAGCAGUGGGGAAUAUUGCACAAUGGGCGAAAGCCUGAUGCAGCAACGCCGCGUGAGCGAUGAAGGCCUUCGGGUCGUAAAGCUCUGUCCUCAAGGAAGAUAAUGACGGUACUUGAGGAGGAAGCCCCGGCUAACUACGUGCCAGCAGCCGCGGUAAUACGUAGGGGGCUAGCGUUAUCCGGAAUUACUGGGCGUAAAGGGUGCGUAGGUGGUUUCUUAAGUCAGAGGUGAAAGGCUACGGCUCAACCGUAGUAAGCCUUUGAAACUGAGAAACUUGAGUGCAGGAGAGGAGAGUAGAAUUCCUAGUGUAGCGGUGAAAUGCGUAGAUAUUAGGAGGAAUACCAGUUGCGAAGGCGGCUCUCUGGACUGUAACUGACACUGAGGCACGAAAGCGUGGGGAGCAAACAGGAUUAGAUACCCUGGUAGUCCACGCCGUAAACGAUGAGUACUAGCUGUCGGAGGUUACCCCCUUCGGUGGCGCAGCUAACGCAUUAAGUACUCCGCCUGGGAAGUACGCUCGCAAGAGUGAAACUCAAAGGAAUUGAC